CUCUGAGGCGCAGACUAGGCAAGUUGCUCCGCUCCCGACUCCUCUCGAGGCACUUUACGUAAAGUUCGCGUCCCGGAACGCGCUGGAUUUCCUGGCAGAGUGAAAGUGUGUGAAUUAGUGAGUGGAUAUAAUUUAACAGUGAGGAUAUUUAUAUUGAUGGUGGACGUUCAGAACACUUGAGCCCAUCGUCAGCGAGUGUUUUUUAAAAAAUAGCACCCAAUUAAUAUCAAUUGACGGUCACAAUUCACCGUAAGACAGUACAGCGUCUUGGGUGGAAAUUUCUAUUUCUGGGGCAUUGAAGCACAGUGAAAAAUCACCCUCUUCGCUGAAGAACUCAUCUCGAGCAAGAGGUGGACCGCAGUGUGUGUGUGAGUUGAAUUAAUUGCUGAGAAAAGGCAAGUGUGGGAUUCGUACACCUUUUCCCGGGUAAUUGGCAACACUUGAGGACAGCCAGAAGCUCUUUCGCAGAUUACGGACAUUAAAUUUAUUUGGCAUCCCCAGCAAUUGGAUUCGCAGCCCACACAGUGUUGUGCAAAUCUUGCAGGAUCAACAUGGGGAGUUGGAGGAAUCUGGUGUUCAUUUUGGCCAUUGGAGCGUGUCUGAUUGAAGGUAAACACAGGGACAGGGUGAGGGACAGGGAGGUGAAGUGGGACAUUGAAGCGAAAUGGGAGAGACCAACCCUCCCUCCGCCCGCCACGACGAUGACCAGUGUGAAUUUGU